AAUAGAUACCCCCGGUAGUCCACGCCGUAAACGAUGAGUGCUAAGUGUUAGAGGGUUUCCGCCCUUUAGUGCUGCAGCUAACGCAUUAAGCACUCCGCCUGGGGAGUACGGCCGCAAGGCUGAAACUCAAAGGAAUUGACGGGGGCCCGCACAAGCGGUGGAGCAUGUGGUUUAAUUCGAAGCAACGCGAAGAACCUUACUAGGUCUUGACAUCCUCUGCCAACCCUAGAGAUAGGGCGUUCCCCUUCGGGGGACAGAGUGACAGGUGGUGCAUGGUUGUCGUCAGCUCGUGUCGUGAGAUGUUGGGUUAAGUCCCGCAACGAGCGCAACCCUUGAUCUUAGUUGCCAGCAUUCAGUUGGGCACUCUAAGGUGACUGCCGGUGACAAACCGGAGGAAGGUGGGGAUGACGUCAAAUCAUCAUGCCCCUUAUGACCUGGGCUACACACGUGCUACAAUGGAUAGUACAAAGAGCUGCGAACCCGCGAGGGUAAGCGAAUCUCAUAAAGCCAUUCUCAGUUCGGAUUGUAGG
rnacentral:rRNA from 1 species